AUUGAACGCUGGCGGCAGGCCUAACACAUGCAAGUCGAGCGAUUUUGGCUUCGGUCAGAAGAGCGGCGAACGGGUGAGUAACACGUAGGAAUCUGCCUGGUAGUGGGGGACAACGUCUCGAAAGGGACGCUAAUACCGCAUACGCCCUACGGGGGAAAGCUGGGGACCUUCGGGCCUAGCGCUAUCAGAUGAGCCUGCGUCGGAUUAGCUAGUUGGUAGGGUAAAGGCCUACCAAGGCGACGAUCCGUAACUGGUCUGAGAGGAUGAUCAGUCACACCGGAACUGAGACACGGUCCGGACUCCUACGGGAGGCAGCAGUGGGGAAUAUUGGACAAUGGGGGCAACCCUGAUCCAGCCAUGCCGCGUGUGUGAAGAAGGCCUUCGGGUUGUAAAGCACUUUAGGUCGGGAGGAAGGUUUGCUGGCUAAUAUCCAGCAGAAUUGACGUUACCGACAGAAUAAGCACCGGCUAACUCCGUGCCAGCAGCCGCCGUAAGAC
rnacentral:rRNA from 1 species